UACGUAGGGUGCGAGCGUUAAUCGGAAUUACUGGGCGUAAAGCGUGCGCAGGCGGUUCCAUAAGACAGAUGUGAAAUCCCCGGGCUUAACCUGGGAACUGCGGUUGUGACUGUGGGACUAGAGUGUGGCAGAGGGGGGUGGAAUUCCACGUGUAGCAGUGAAAUGCGUAGAGAUGUGGAGGAACACCGAUGGCGAAGGCAGCCCCCUGGGUCAACACUGACGCUCAGGCACGAAAGCGUGGGGAGCAAACAGG
rnacentral:rRNA from 1 species